GCUACUACCGAUUGAAUGGUUUAGUGAGGACUCCUGAUUGGCGCCGCCGCCCCGGCACGGAGCAGCGGACUGCCGAAAAGUUGUUCAAACUUGAUCAUUUAGAGGAAGUAAAAGUCGUAACAAGGUUUCCGUAGGUGAACCUGCAGAAGGAUCAAGAACGGAAGAGCACAAGGUUGAAACCCAGGCAAGUGGGCCUAACUCGGAUGCCGUCCUCUGCCUUAAAAAAAAAAAAACAUCUUACCUCUGUAUUCAUGCUACUGCUUCCCCCUCCACACAC
rnacentral:misc_RNA from 1 species